rnacentral:rRNA from 1 species
GAUGAACGCUGGCGGUGUGCCUAAUACAUGCAAGUCGAGCGAACAGACGAGGAGCUUACUCCCCUGACGUUAGCGGCGGACGGGUGAGUAACACGUGGAUAACCUACCUAUAAGACUGGGAUAACUUCGGGAAACCGGAGCUAAUACCGGAUAACAUGUUGAACCGCAUGGUUCAACAGUGAAAGACGGUCUUGCUGUCACUUAUAGAUGGAUCCGCGUCGCAUUAGCUAGUUGGUAAGGUAACGGCUUACCAAGGCAACGAUGCGUAGCCGACCUGAGAGGGUGAUCGGCCACACUGGAACUGAGACACGGUCCAGACUCCUACGGGAGGCAGCAGUAGGGAAUCUUCCGCAAUGGGCGAAAGCCUGACGGAGCAACGCCGCGUGAGUGAAGAAGGUCUUCGGAUCGUAAAACUCUGUUAUUAGGGAAGAACAAAUGUGUAAGUAACUAUGCACGCCUUGACGGUACCUAAUCAGAAAGCCACGGCUAACUACGUG